rnacentral:snRNA from 1 species
GGACUUUUUGUGAAGGUGAUCUGGCUGCAACAUCUGUCACCCCAUUGAUCACCAGGGUUGAUUAGGCUGCUCUGUCUGGCUAGGAGGGUGUCUGCUUCCUCCCGCACCACUCCAUGUGAGUCCCUCCUGAAGCUGCCAGAAUAAAGGAGGAACAUUCUUAGGUCAAGGGUAUAUGAGUAUCUGCACUCCCUGCUAGAACCUCCAAACAAGCUCAAGGUCCAUAUGCUACACCUUUUUAUAGUCAGGAUAAAUGGAAAAUUGUCUUAGAAAAAGAAUACUUAAAUUU